rfam:Puccinia sorghi strain RO10H11247 Scaffold_2841, whole genome shotgun sequence.
GGCCGCCUGGCCCAAUGGUCAAGGCGCCUGCCUACGAUCCGUUCCAAUCCGGGGCGGUGGUUCAGCAGGAGAUUCCAGGUUCGAGUCCUGGGGUGGUCG